CCUACGGGCGGCAGCAGUGAGGAAUAUUGGUCAAUGGGCGCGAGCCUGAACCAGCCAAGUAGCGUGAAGGAUGACUGCCCUACGGGUUGUAAACUUCUUUUAUAAAGGAAUAAAGUGAAGCGCGUGUGCCUCUUUGUAUGUACUUUAUGAAUAAGGAUCGGCUAACUCCGUGCCAGCAGCCGCGGUAAUACGGAGGUUCCGAGCGUUAUCCGGAUUUAUUGGGAUUAAGGGGAGCGUAGAUGGGUUGGUAAGUCAGUUGUGAAAGUUUGGGGCUCAACCGUAAAAUUGCAAUUGAUACUGGCAGCCUUGAGUACAGGUGAGGGAGGCGGAAUUCGUGGUGUAGCGGUGAAAUGCGUAGAUAUCACGAAGAACUCCGAUUGCGAAGGCAGCUUACUAAAC
rnacentral:rRNA from 1 species